UCUUAAAAUCAGUCGAAUUGUAUAACCCUUAAUGGUUGUACAACUCAGUAAAUAUACUAAAAUUCAAAAAAUGGUACAGUUUAAAAUCAGUGAAUUGUAUGACCCUCAAUAAAGCUGUGAUUUUUUUUAAAAAGGAAACAGAAAAUAAAACCUUAGGAGAAAAAAAUGAAAUAACAUGUCUGCAACUUAUUUUCAAAUAAGUUUCAAAAUACUUUUUGAAAUACUUGUUUCAAAAGUAUUAUGUAUAUUAUACAUAUAUAGAGAGAGAAUAAGUCCAUUCUCUUAAAUAAGUCCCUCCUCUACUAAAAAUAAAAAUA